GACGAACGCUGGCGGCGUGCUUAACACAUGCAAGUCGAGCGGUAAGGCCCUUUCGGGGGUACACGAGCGGCGAACGGGUGAGUAACACGUGGGUGACCUGCCCUCAGCUCUGGGAUAAGCCUGGGAAACUGGGUCUAAUACUGGAUAUGACUCCACGGUGCAUGUCGUGGGGUGGAAAGCCUUGUGCGGCUGAGGAUGGGCCCGCGGCCUAUCAGCUUGUUGGUGGGGUGANGGGCCUACCAAGGCGACGACGGGUAGCCGGCCUGAGAGGGCGACCGGCCACACUGGGACUGAGACACGGCCCAGACUCCUACGGGAGGCAGCAGUGGGGAAUCUUGCGCAAUGGGCGAAAGCCUGACGCAGCGACGCCGCGUGAGGGAUGACGGCCUGGUGUAA
rnacentral:rRNA from 1 species